AGUUGAAGUAGGCGGAAUAUAGCAUGUAGCGGUGGAAUGCAUAGAUAUGCUAUAGAACACCAAUUGCGAAGGCAGCUUGCUUAACUAUAACUGACGCUGAGGCACGAAAGCGUGGGGAGCGAACAGGAUUAGAUACCCUGGUAGUCCACGCCGUGAACUAUGAACACUCGCUGUUGGCAAUACACAGUCAGCGGCUGAGCGAAAGCGUUAAGUGUUCCACCUGGGAAGUACGAUCGCAAGGUUGAAACUCAAAGGAAUUGACGGGGGCCCGCACAAGCGGAGGAGCAUGUGGUUUAAUUCGAUGAUACGCGAGGAACCUUACCUGGGCUUAAAUGUAUAUUGACGUACUGAGAAAUCAGUAUUUCUUCGGACAAUUUACAAGGUGCUGCAUGGUUGUCGUCAGCUCGUGCCGUGAGGUGUCGGGUUAAGUCCCAUAACGAGCGCAACCCCUACUUCUAGUUACCAGCAUUUCGGAUGGGGACUCUAGAGGAGCUGCCUACGCAAGUAGAGAGGAAGGUGGGGAUGACGUCAAAUCAGCACGGCCCUUAUGUCCAGGGCUACACACGUGCUACAAUGGCCGGUACAGAGGGCAGCUACAUAGCAAUAUGAUGCUAAUCUCAAAAGCCGGUCUCAGUCCGGAUUGGAGUCUGCAACUCGACUCCAUGAAGCUGGAUUCGCUAGUAAUCGCACAUCAGCAAUGGUGCGGUGAUACGUUCCCGGGCCUUGUACACACCGCCCGUCAAGCCAUGGAAGUUGGGGGUACCUGAAGUCGAUUGCCGUAAGGCGU
rnacentral:rRNA from 1 species